ACUUCCUCCUUGUGCCUCAAGGGCCAGCCAGGCACCCAGGUAAGAGCCUCCCCCGGGCAGUCAGACCCCUGCAGCCCCUCUGUCCCCAGGGUGCCUCUGAGCCCAGCCCAGCUGAGGAAAAAAGGAAGGGACCUGGGCAAUUGCUGGGUGACCCAAGGAAGUCCCUUCCAGCCCCUGGGCCUCUUUCCACCUGUAGGGUGAGGGGUCAGGACUCCUGCUGCUGCUGCCUCUGCCAGACCAAACCAGACAAGGCACUGGGUCUUGCCCGGGAAAACUUUCGAAGGACCUGCUGAGAGCUUUGGGGACAGGGGUUGGGGGUCACCGGCUAAGGUGGCUGCAGAGGACUCCUGCCCUCAGCCCACCUUGCCGCCUCCCCGGGGGGAGAGCCCUACUUCAGGGAGCCAGUCAGUCCACACAGCCCCCGAGGCCCUGUUCUGUGACCUUGGGCAGCCUCCUUCGCCUCCCAGGGCUGGCUUCCACCGCUGCAAAAGCAGAAUAUAGCCCAGGUCCGUUCUGAAAGCUCAGAGUCCCAGCUCUUCCUCUCCAAAGUCUUUGGAGUCUCCAAAAUGUCCCCUAGGUCUCGGCAGAACUGGCAUUGUAACUGUCACUGAGGUCCCCUGGGCCAGAACCUGUCUGGGGGGUGGGGUGAGAACACGCUUUGCAGGAGAAAAGACUGUUACCCCAGGGACCUCAGGCCAGUUCAGGGACUCCAGCCAACCCUCCCUCCUCUCCUGCUGGGGGGCCAGACCCAAAGCUUGAAGGGAGGGUGGCUGGCCAGUGUGCAGGGGGUCUUCACAAGCCCUGAUUGGCGUGUGAGGAAGCAGCGGCAGCUCAGAGAGGUUAAGCCACUUGCCCGAGAUCACUCAGCUCUCAGGCCACCGAGGCGCUCAGUGCUCUUCCCGAUGGGCCGUGGCUUCUAGCCUGGUUCUUGGCGUUCCACGGCAGGUUUCCAGUUCCCCGUUUGUCCCCUUCCCCCUCCCCCUCCUCUGUCCCUCUCCGGUGUCUCUGCCUGUGCCCCUCUCAUUUCUUUCUCCUGUGGCCUCUGGGCCUCACUCUCCCACUUUCGCCCCCUCUCCCACCGCCCCUCUCUCUUUCCGUCUCAUCUGCAGCUUCGUAUAUGGGGCCAUCGGGAAUCUGGGCAUUCAGAGGGCCCCGGAGCUGGUCAGAUGCCCAGCCGUCCGUCCCUGUCCCUCUGCCCUGUGGCUGCAGCAGGAAGGGUGGGCAAAGGGCACGGAGUGGAGGCCGCAGCAGCCGAACCUGGAACAGGGGCCCAGCUCUGGUUCGGAAAGAAACGAGGAAACAAGGAACUUGGGGAGAGAGGGUGCGGGGGUGUCGGAGCGGGCAAAGGCUGCCAGGGGCUGUAAACUGGAGCCACUCCCAGCUUUAUGAGCAGAUCUGGGCUUGAGACCGGACUUCGCCCAGAGAAGGAGAGCUGGCACCAGCCUCCAGGCGUGGGCCCUCUAUGAUAAGGAGCCUCAAUAAAAAGACAAUGGACCUGGGGCCAUGAAGACCCAGGGCGCCCAGUGGGUGGGCUUGCUCUACUCCCCAGAGGCUGCCCAAAGGGAGCUGCCAGGCAGGCAGGGCCCAGGCCUCCAGUUGGCUGCCACCCCCUGUAACAGCAACUCCAUGUGGAAGUGCCCACUAGUUCCAGUGGGGCUGCUGUUAUCUGGGGUGGGGGCCAGUGCCCUCGGAGGAGGAGAGGUGGCUGUUGUCCAGCAGACCAGCAGGGAUCCCCACAGCCACGAUCCCAGGCCCAGGAUGGUGCAGGGUGGUGGGCUGUCGGCAGGCUGCCAAGACCGAGUGCACAGGGCUCUGACCUAUGAAUUGACAGCCAGUGCUCUCAUCUCCCCUCUGGCUGCCAAUUCCAUAGGUCACAGGUAUGUUCGCCUCAAUGCCAGCCUCCAGGACCUGCGGGGGUUGGGGGGGGGAGCAGGACAGGAGUGUCAAGUGGGCAACGAAGACUCGCCGUCUCAGUGCAGCGAUCAAGGCCCAGCCCCCUUCUCCCAUUUCCACUUUUCCAUCUCCUUUCUCCUGAGCGCGAACUGCUUUCGGUCCCCACCGAUACUGACUGUGCUUUGUCCAGGCUGUUCCCUCUGCCUGGAACACCCUUCCCUGCUUUUUUGCCAGGCUCACUUUUUUUUUUUCCUUUUUAGGGCCACACCCACAGAACAUGAAGGUUCCCAGUCUAGGGGCCAGCGGCUACAGCUCCGAUUCGACCCCUAGCCUGGGAACCUCCGUAUGCCGCGGGAAGCGGCCCUAGAAAAAAGCAAAANNNNNNNNNNNNNNAAAAAAAAAAAAAAAAAAAGGAGUGGGCUUGCCAGGGUGCCGGCUCUUCCGCCAGCCGUGCAUCUGUGGCCACCAGCAGAGGGCGCCCGGGACCGCAUCUCACAAGCGCUGGGCGGGGUCCGCCCUCCCCGCCCCUCCCUCCCCAGCCCGGACCCCAGCAGCCGUCCCCGCCCCUCCCGGGCCCCUGCCCGCCCGCCGGCGACGGUCAGCCCCCCUACAGGCAGCGGCGGCGCAGUCUGUCUUUGCUGGUGACCCACCCCCAGGGAAACACAAGGCUGACCUUUACCGGAAUCACUGCCUUGCCUUUCUCUGCGGUUUACCAGCCAGGUAAAAAUGAUGUGUUCAUUUUGCCUGGGGUGGUCGCGGUUCGUUAUGUCAGUGGAACCCUGUGGCUGUGUCCUCUGUCGCCGCGGUUUGUUCAGGUUGUUCGCAGCCAGCGAUGUUCCGUCGUAAGAGUAGAAUCCAGGUGCUUUGUCCAGUCCACUGUAAAUGGACCUUGUGCCGCUGCUAAUGAGGCAGCAAAUGUCAUAAUAACGAACCCCACCGUGCCUGAAGCAGCGGUACCUUGGUGCAAGCCUUUUUCUUUUUGUUUUUGACAAUUAGGAAACUUUCAGAAAAGUUGCAAGAAAAGUGCAAUGACGCUCCAUAUACCCUUGGCUCACAUUCACCAGAGUAGCUACCCAUGUCGCCACAUUGGCUCUCUCUCUCCCUCUGUCACAUACAUACACAUUUUUUUCCCUGAACCAUUCCACACGUAAGCUACAUAGCUCACGACCCUGCACUCUUAAGUAUUUCAACAUGCAUCCCCUAAGAAAAAUGACAUUUCUUACACAACCACAGCAUGGUUACCAAAUUUAGGCCUGGUGACAGUGAUGCAAUACCGAUGCAGCGCUGGGAUCUGGCAUGUGGUCCACUUUCGAGCGGUCCCCGCUUGUCCCAGUCAUGCCUUGAAUUUGGUUGUUAGGUCUGUACCUUAUUUUUUUAGGGCCGCACCCAUGGCAUAUGGAGAUUCCCAGGCUAGGAGUCCAAUCGGAGUUGUAGCCACUGGCUUACACCACAGCCACAGCAACACCAGACCCGAGCCACAUCUGUGACCUGCACCACAGCUUACAGCAACGCUGGAUCCUUGACCCACUGAUCGAGGCCAGGGAUCGAACCCGCGUCCUCAUAAAGAACUCCCAAGUCUCUUUAGUCUUUAAUCUGGAACCAUCCUCAGCCUUACUUUGUUUUUAAAGACCUUGACAUUUUUGACAGUAUAGACAUUUUACAGAAUGUCCCUCAGCAUUUUUUCCCCCUUUCCUCUCCCCCCCAGUUAAGAAAAUCAGUUAUGUCCAUUAUAUAAAAUUUGGACAAUAUAGGAGUUCCCACUGUGGCUCAGUGGUUAAUGAACCUGAGGACACAGGCUCAAUCCCUGGCCUUGCUCAGUGGGUUAAGGAUCCGGUGCUGCCGUGCGGUUGCAGUCGUGGCUCGGAUCCCAUGUUGCUGUGGCUGUGGUAUAAGCCACAAACUACAGCUCUGAUUCCACGCCUAUCCUGGGAAUCUCCAUAUGCCUCGGGUGCAG
rnacentral:lncRNA from 1 species